AUUGAACGCUGGCGGCAGGCCUAACACAUGCAAGUCGAGCGGAUGAAGGGAGCUUGCUUCUGGAUUCAGCGGAGGACGGGUGAGUAGUGCGUAGGAAUCUGCCUGGUAGGGGGGGAUAACGUCCGGAAACGGGCGCUAAUACCGCAUACGUCCAGAGGGAGAAAGUGGGGGAGCUUCGGACCUCACGCAAUCAGAUGAGCCUAGGUCGGAUUAGCUAGUUGGUGGGGUAAAGGCCUACCAAGGCGACGAUCCGUAACUGGUCUGAGAGGAUGAUCAGUCACACUGGAACUGAGACACGGUCCAGACUCCUACGGGAGGCAGCAGUGGGGAAUAUUGGACAAUGGGCGAAAGCCUGAUCCAGCCAUGCCGCGUGGGUGAAGAAGGUCUUCGGAUUGUAAAGCACUUUAAGUUGGGAGGAAGGGCAGUAAGUUACUACCUUGCUGUUUUGACGUUACCAACAGAAUAAGCACCGGCUAACUUCGU
rnacentral:rRNA from 1 species